CCCUUAGAUGUUCUGGGCUGCACGCGUGCUACAAUGAUACAUACAAAAAGUUACUCCAUGAUUGACAAAUCUUGGUAAUCUAUCAAUAUGUAUCGUGCUUGGGAUAGACUAUUGUAAUUAUUGGUCUUGAACGAGGAAUUCCUAGUAAGCGCAAGUCACCAACUUGCGCUGAUUACGUUCCUGCCCUUUGUACACACCGCCCGUCGCUUCUACCGAUUGAGUGUUCCAGUGAAUUAUUCGGAGUAUUUUAUAAUAUAAAGUCUUGUAAACUGUAACACUUAGAGGAAGGAGAAGUCGUAACA
rnacentral:rRNA from 1 species